GACGUUUGUCACUCGUGCCUCAUCCAGUAUUCUCCACUGCAAGACUUGUCUGCACAGAUUCGAUUGCCCCAAUAAAGACUGAACAACUGUGAACUCACACAGAAGUGCUGUAAUAUUGUGGCCUCAGCUCUCCAGUCAUCAGACUCACCCCUGAGAGAUCUGGACCUCAGCUACAAUAACCUGCGAGAUUCAGGAGUGAAGCUGCUCUGUGCUGGACUGAAGAGUCCAAACUGUAAACUGCAGAGACUGGGACUGAACAGCUGUAAACUCACACAGAAGUGCUGUAAUAUUGUGGCCUCAGCUCUCCAGUCAUCAAACUCGCCCCUGAGAGAUCUGGACCUCAGCUACAAUAACCUGGGAGAUUCAGGAGUGAAGCUGCUCUGUGCUGGACUGAGGAGUCCAAACUGUAAACUACAGAGACUGGGACUGAACAACUGUAAACUCACACAGAAGUGCUGUGAUAUUGUGGCCUCAGCUCUCCAGUCAUCAAACUCACCCCUGAGAGAUCUGGAUCUCAGCUGCAAUAACCUGGGAGAUUCAGGAGUGGACAUGGAGAAUAUAGGCUGGGUUGGUGUAAUCUCACAGAGGGCUGCUGUGAUGUUCUGGCCUCAGUCCUGCGUUCUCCUCACUCAAAGCUGAGAGAUCUGGAGCUCAGAGACAACGAGCUGCAGGAUUCAGGAGUGAGAGCGCUGUCUGCUGGACUGGAGGACCCACACUGUAAACUGCAGAGACUGGGGUGAGUACAAACACAAACCCCUUCAAUCCAAAGGGCUACAAUGUGACUAAAUACAACACUGAUGUCAAUGUUCCUAAUGUGAAAACAGACACUUCACGGAACUGAAACAGCAUGUUCCUGUUCUUCCUCUUGGUAGAAUUUGACUACACAAAUGAAUGAAGAAAAUGAAUUAGUCCUGUUUACUGAACUGUAGUGGGGUGUAAACUCAAAUGUGUUUGAUAAUGACUCAUUCCACAUUCAUGUUAUUUUAGUUUAACACGCACAGCCCUGUUAGUUUAUAUUAUAUUACAUUUAUUUGCCAGACGCUUUUAUCCAAAGUGACGUACAAUAAGUGCAUACAAAAGGUAAUUGGAACAACUACAUAACACAGGUCCAAUAAGGUACACAGGGUUCGUACGGUCAUGAAAAACCUGGAAAAGUCAUUGAAAUUUAAAGUGCAAUUUCCAGGCCCUGGAAAAGUUAUGGAAAAUAAUAUUUUUUGAAAAGUUUUGGAAAAGUAAUGGAAAUAUAGCUAAAGUUGCAUCAAAUAUAAUUACUAAUUAAUCCAAUCAUAAAAAUAGUAUGUAUAGUAAUAAAAUGUAAAUUGGCACGUAACCUUCGCGGUAUUUUGGUGGUGUGAGAAGUUAAUUCGGUCCGGCUCAGUCUGUUUACAGGCACGCCUCUGCUGAUGUAGCAGUUAGUAAACGUAGGCCCUACUGUGCCGACAAUAUGCCAGGUGUGCAGCUUCAGUAAUAUAUCAGGGCUCGAAAUUAACUUUUUUACUUGGUAGCACUGGUGCUCCCAACUUCAAAAACUUAGGAACACCCACCGAAAUGUAAGGAGCACCAACAAUAUAUGCAAUAGAUUUUUUAUUAAUAAAAACGACAAUAUAACAGUACGGUUUACAAGGAACAGUUAAACUGUCACGCAUAAAAUGUGUCGACUCUUCAAGGAAUUGCGUGUUAUCCAUUCAAACGACAAAGCGCUUCUCGUCACAUUAAUUCCGCUAAUUAAAUCAGUAAACUGCAUCGGAGAAAUUAGCUGUUCCAACCGGGUCGCUACACAAAACGUCCGCUUCAACUUUUCAGCUUUCGAUAACGCUAAUAAAUUGAACAUAAACUUUUGUCUUCAGGUAACAUUAGUUACGCGUCGCGUGACAGUGGAGUGCAGGGAAAGGGAGUGAUUGAAGGCUAAUAUUAACCUAUUUAAAAUCAGCAUUAAAGGUAAGAAUGUCAAGCUCGCGAUUGGUUAGAAGGGUCACCGUCAGCUCACAAGGGACAUGCUGAGCGUAUUAGCGAAUGUACAGAGAAAGAGACGUUCGACUGGAAAAAGAAAAAAAAAGGUCGCACCAGAACAAUUAUUUGCACUCGCACAAAUGCUCCCAAUUAUAUUUCGAGGUCGCACAGAUUCAAUUUCGGGAGCAUAUGCGACCAAAAUGGUCGCAAUUUCGAGCCCUGUUUGAGACAUUGACAAAAAUGUUAAACUAUUCGAAUUAAAAUAUAAGAGAAUGUAUCUAAGUGUGUCUGUCUGGUGUUUGUUUGUUUUAGAGAGGCACCAUAUGUUUCAGAUGCAGACCUAAUUUUACUUAGUGUUAUUUAUUUAUUUAUUGACCUUUCAGCAUUAUUACAGGUUCAUAAAGACAGUUGUCAUUAAAAACACUGAAUUAUUUUGCUGUUGCAAUAAAACAUCAAUACUAAGUAGACAAAAAAUUUUAAAUAUUGCAAUUAUCUAAACUGAGAUCUAAUCUCGUAUCCCAAAUUUAAAUUUAAAAUCCGCUGUCAUUUAGGAGUCUGCACAUAUAGGGGAUUGGUGAUCUCCUGUAUCUCUCAGUUCGACAUCUUGGGAUGGCCAGUUGGUUUGAAUUCCUUGCCUGACGACCUGUGAGCUCCUCCCUGAGGGGGGGUAGCCAGUCACUGAAGUUGGACUUGAGCAGCUUUCUGGCAAAGCCAAGACACAGUUGAGUGCGUCUCUUUGAUAGAGUGCACAAUCCGAGAGUGCAGAGAGCCUGUGGGUACCCUGAGUACCUCUGGCCAAGUAUGAUUUUACAAGCCCGUUUCUGCGUGCUUUCCAGCCUUUUAGCCUGGUCUGUAGUGAGGGAACUGUGCCAGACGGGGACUGCAUACUCCAGCACCGGGCGUACGUAGCCUAUGUAGAUGGAAACCAGUUCUGGGUCUCGGACACCAAAUUUCUUCAGGCGACGCAGAGCAAAAAGCUUCCUGUUCGCUGAGGUCAGCAUGUGGUCCACCUGACUGUCCCAAUGCAAAUUACUCUGGAUGGUGACCCCCAGGACCUUGACAGUGUCACAGACUUCCACGAUGUUCUGGUCAAUGGAGAGAGUCGGCAGGGCGGGUGGAUGCCUCAUGUGGGUGACUUUACAUUUCUUUGGGUUGAGUUUCAUUUUGUGCUCCUCUACCCAGAUAUCAAGACCAUUCAGGGUCUGUUGGAGGGUACAGGGUAGUUGGAGCUGUUACAAUAAAUAAUUUUAAAUCGUCCCACUGAGAUAAAGUCAUUUGUUUUGGUCAUGGAAAUUCAGUUAAAGGUUGUGGAGAAGUCAUGGAAAAGUCAUUGAAAAUCAUUGGUGAAAAAGUGUAUGAACCCUGGGUACAAUACUUUGCACAGUUAUUCAUAGCCAUGAACAUAUUAAGUCUAGUUCACACAGUGAACAUUACUCUGACCUAACCUAUGCUAAGUCAAACUAGGAGGCAUUACAAGCAACAUCUAGACAAUGAUACAAGGCACAAUAAGUGCUGGAUGGAGGUACAUGUAACAUGAGUGGCACAGGAGGUACAUGUGUAGAAAUAGGGGGAUUUAAGUGAUAGAAAUGAUCUACAGAGUGGUGAUAGUUAGUCCAGGUAUAGUCUGAAGAGAUGCAUCUUCAGACCACGGCAGAAGAUGGGUAGUGAGGGAGAGGUUCGUAGAGGAACAGGGAGUUCGUUCCACCACUGGAGAGCUAGGGUGGAGAAGCUCCAUGGUAGAGACAAGAUUGAACCCUUUACCCGGAUGGCAGGGGGUGCAAGGCAGUGGUCAAGUGGCCGUAUAGGAUUUAAUCAUGUGCUGUAAGUAGACGGGCUGUUGGCUGCAGUGUAGGUGAGGGUCAGGACAUUGAACCUGCAGUGACUGGUAUCCAGUGGAGUGACCUCAGCAGGGGAGAACUUGGGAAGCUUGAAGGCAAUUAAUGUGUGUAAGGUGUGUAACAUACUGCUAUGUGUUUGUCACACAGCCCUGUUACUUUAUAUUAAUGUGUGUAAGGUGUGUAACACACUGCUAUGUGUUUGACACACACAGCCCUGUUAGUUUAUAUUAAUGUGUGUAAGGUGAGUGACACACUACUAUAUGUUUGACACACACAGCCCUGCUAGUUUAUAUUAAUGUGUGUAAGGUGUGUAACACACUACUAUGUGUUUGACACACAGAGCCCUGUUAGUUUAUAUUAAUGUGUGUAAGGUGUGUAACACACUGCUAUGUGUUUGACACACACAGCCCUGUUAGUUUAUAUUAAUGUGUGUAAGGUGUGUAACACACUGCCAUGUGUUUGACACACACAGCCCUGUUAGUUUAUAUUAAUGUAAGGUGUGUAACGCACUGCUAUGUGUUUGACACACAGAGCCCUGUUAGUUUAUAUUAAUGUGUGUAAGGUGUGUAACACACUGCUAUGUGUUUGACACACACAGCCCUGUUAGUUUAUAUUAAUGUGUGUAAGGUGUGUAACACAUUGCUAUGUGUUU